rnacentral:lncRNA from 1 species
CAAGAUGCUACGCUGUUGGCUCUGAAGAUGGAGGAAAAGUUCAUGAGCCAAGGGAAGCAAGGAGAGCAACUCCAGCAGCUGGAACAGGCAGGCAGACGGUUCUUCCCUCCAGCCUCCAGAAGUGGAGCAUCAGUAACAAGAAGAAAAUAUGAAUAAUAUGCAGACUUUCUUCUCAACAGCUGAGAAUAUGUUUUUCGGACUAUUUCAUUUGGAGAGAGAGGAAACAAAAUUCCACAUUCAUAGCAACCUGACCCCUGGGCAAACAGGAACAAGCACAACAUAAUGUGCAGUAAGCUGGAGCUCCAGCACCGGCUGGCAGCGUUCACACCACAGAACGCCCUCCACUCUGCUUCCUGGGCCUUCGUGGGAGAAUUCUCACACGGGAACAUUUGCAUAACCAACAGGAAAGGAAGCCAUUGCCUAAUAACUUCACAAAACAUAGAAUACCAACCUGGAGACUUGGCUUAUUGGGAGGUCAAUGUUUCGGCAUCAAGCACAGCUCCUGCCGGCUAUGUGUUAUGAUGUAGUGUGGACAUCUGUUGUUUUUGUCUUCCCGACAUCCAGCUUCUCUUCUUAUGGUAACAGCACAUCCAUUUCCAUUUGGGAAAUCACUCAGUCACUAUCGCACAACAGUAUUGGCAGGACCAAUAUUUGACUAUCUAAAGAGUGAGAAUGAGACCCAAACUGAGACUCUCAUAUUUUUUUUUCUCCUGGGAAUGUGACUGUCGAGUGGAGUGACACAAUGAAGAAAAAGGACCAGAGUGAAUUCAUCCUGACUCUGGUGCCCUUACAAUGGCUCAUUAACACUUGUUACCUAAAUAUCCAGAGCCUGCCCUUUUUAAAGCCUGGGGUGGCAGUCUCCUUAAUUCUGGGAACAACUUAAAACCCUUCUAAGAAUCCCUUUGUUGAUUAAAUUAGCCAGAGUCAGUUUCCUUAGCUGACAACUGAAGAGCCUGAGGAAGUCAUCACAGGACAAAAGUCAAGACACCUGGAUUCCAGGCUGGACCCUGUCCUAAACCAGCUUAUGAACUCAGAGGG